UCUUUGACUGUUAACUUACGUUGUUUCCUGCAAUCAAAGAGUAUAUAUGGACAUACGCCGCCCUUGAGUUUGCACUUGUGGCUUUAACUGUGCAUCUGUUUUAUACUUAUGUAAGAUAAAAUGUUGAGAUUUCUUUAUAAUGAUUGAUUCAGCAAACCAUAACCUCAUUACUUUGUUGCAGUUCCAUUUGGCGGCCAUUUACUCGAUACUACUUUCAUCGAUUUUGGGUUUUGGAGUUGCUAUAGGAAUCAACUAUUUGUAUAUCCAGUAUGUGACAUGGAGAUUUCAGGUUUCUACUAAUGAUACUCCCAUAUGAAUCUCCUCGAAAAGAAAACGUCUUAUGGAUUAUCAUUCUACCUACUAUCAUAGUGUCUAGUAUGAACCUUGAGUUUGUUGAUCAACUGGUUUUAGACUCGUGCAAUGCACAGUGAUGUUCGACUGUCAUGAACUUAGUGCACAACAUCAAGUGUCAAAAUGAAUGUAAAGAUAGUAAUUAUGCUUAAAUAGCACCGAAACAGAAUCGACAAGUUGUCGACAAGAAAAGUUAGAGCGAGUGGAUGAACUAAACCAUUCACUGAUUUGUAUAAUGCAGGAAAUUAAGAGAAACAGAAUCUUGAAGAUAUUUUAUUGGCUUUUUCAGUUUCAAAUUGAAGCAAGAAAAUGGUUAAUUUUGCAAAAUAAAGUUGGUUUAAGCUUAAGUUUUAAACAUUUCUUGUAUUAUAUCAGAUAUAUCGGUCACGGGAGUUCUGAUCCAAUAAAUGUUAGUUUUAUGUUACUUCAUUGGCAGCAACAUGGAAGUGCAACUUGAUAUUCCGUGCAAAAUACAGCAUUGUUAGUUUGUAUCUUUUAGGUUUUAACUACACCUUGUAAUUUUUUUAAUGAGAUGCUUGAACAUGCCUAUAAUGCCAUAAAUGCAAACUUAAUUUGGUGCAAUUUUUUAUUUUUUUCAUGUAAUACAUGUAAUGGAGUUCUUUAGUGUAAGUCCCUAUCAGUUUUAUUUCUUCAAAUUAAUGAACAUGUUUCUUUGUAGGUUAUUAUGCUUACGUGUCAUUUUUAUGUGGUAUGAAUGGUUCAGCUCCUACGAAUUGGAUGAAUAUGCAGCAAAACAGAAUGGUACCUUGAAAAACAAGACAAAAAUGGAGAUGGGGAGAAACCUAGUCGUACAGUUGACAUACCAAACAUUACAGGUACUGAAUCAAAUGUAGUAGUAGAGCAAAGAGGGUGAGAUUUCCAAAGGGCAAGAAAGGGAAGCAAGUAGAUGUAGUAGUAGAGCAAGUAAUUGUUAAAGAGAAUGUGAAUGGCUUGUCGAACCCCGUUGUUGCUGCCAAAGAGCCGGUGAAACGCUGGAAUCAAAUCACCGCUGAACUCCUGAGUGAGGAGAAUGGAGGUGGCAUCAGGUUCAUCGAUCUACUUAUAGUGGGAGCUUGUUCUUUCGAUGUUUAUUGCUCUGAGCAUGUCUGGAACAGGUCUUCUGCAUCCUUCUUCUUUUGUUAUUGUGUCUUUUAAAUGCCUAUUGUUGUUUGUUAUGUAGAGCAGGUUGUCUCUGUUUUAUUUUACGAAGAAAUCAGGUUUGGAGCCGUUUGAUAUUCGAUUUGAUGAGCACGUGCCAAAGGUUGCAUUUCCUCAUGGUAUGAUGAUACCACUUGAUUCUUUUAAUACAGUGUACCAUUCUCUUGCGUUUUGGGCUUUGAUGCUUCCGGUGUCGGUUAGCAUGACUUCUGAUGUUUUUAGAGGUUAUUGAGGACAUAGGCUUAUUUGGGAGUUGGGGUUAUGUUUCCGUUUAUGCUCUCCUACAGUCCAUAGGUAUGACAGAGUUGAGGCAUAUCCCUUUUUGGAGGAGAAAGAUCUUCACGUGAACGUCGGUCGUUUAACCAAGUAUUUGGGUGUGUGGAGAUCAGA